rnacentral:rRNA from 1 species
AUGACUACACCGAAUUACCACCCCACGCCGCCCAAAGUAGCUCCCAGGUCGGUGAAGCCGACGGAGCCGUCAUCUUCGAAGCCUGCGUCGGUGAAUCCUGAGAUGAAAGAGAAGGGCACGUCAGAGAAGCCGACGAAAGAGAAGGGCACGUCGGAGAAGCCAGCGAAGCAAAAGAUGAAAGCGAACGGCAAUGGAGCCGGUCGCCAUCGAGAGAAUCCUCGGGGAACUCAGGUUUCUUCUUUGCUGCAAUACGAGAAGUUCAUAAAAGAACUAAACGCACAACAACUGACAUACAUCAAGUUGAUUGGACUGGGUGAACUUCUCAAGACUCCUGGCAUGAGAAUGAGACGUCUAUUGUGGCAGGCCAUCACUUAUUCAUAUGAUGCAGAGCAGGAUGCCUUUAUAAUUAAUGGGAGACCAUGUAGGAUCACACUAAAAGAUGUGGAGCAUAUAACAGGCCUGCCCUACAUAGGGAAGAAUCACGUCUCUUCAAAUCACAACGAUACUUUGGAGUUGUGGAAGGAACUGAAAGACCCCAAUGACACAAAAGUAACUUUGAAAGGAUUGCUAGCCAAGAUGAAAGGCGACAGAACACCUAAUUUUGUCAGGCCAUUUGUCUUGUACACCAUAGGAAAAUAUGUAUGCCCGACAACGCAGCAGUAUGUGGACAACAGAUACCUUGGGAUUGUUAGAAACGUUGAGACAAUAAAGAGCACCAAUUUUGGACAGCUUACAUUUGACCAUCUUAUGGCUAGCGUCAGGAAAUUUGUAAAUGGUGGAGCAAAUCUGGAGGGCAACCUACCACUGCUGCAGACGUGGUACUACGAGAAGUGGAGGGUGCACCAAUUGGACUCUACCAUCUCGUAUGCAUCAAGGUUAAGGCCGCUGAUCCAAAACUGGAGUGACAAGAAGGCACAGAAGGUUGACAACAUAAUCAACAAAAAUUAUAUAGGGGUUGGAGAGUAUGUCGAUGACCUGCUGCGGCCUUUCAAUCCGCCACCAGUUGGGACGCCGGUCAAACCAAAGACUGACGGUCAGGAUGAAGAAGACAGAGUUGUUGCUGCAGCUUGCAAGGAGAGUCUCAAGAAUGUUUCACAGCUUUAUAAAGAGCUGGAUGCUUCGCAGGGUGCUCCGAGUUUGGAUUCGCGAAAGCAUUCCAAAGCCACCACAAGCCUUGAAGCUUUCCUGGAUCCUCUGAAUUUGAGGCACAAUGAGAAUGUGCGAAAGGCUGAAGAAAGAAGAGAUCAAGAUGAUGAAGAUGCCAGUAUUGAGGUGGGGGAGAGGCAGGUACCAAAAGCAAACACCGGUCUGCCAAGGCUAAGGGAAUAA